UACGUAGGGUGCGAGCGUUAAUCGGAAUUACUGGGCGUAAAGCGUGCGCAGGCGGUUUUGUAAGCCAGAUGUGAAAUCCCCGGGCUUAACCUGGGAAUGGCAUUUGGGACUGCAAGGCUUGAGUGCGGCAGAGGAGACUGGAAUUCCUGGUGUAGCAGUGAAAUGCGUAGAUAUCAGGAGGAACACCGAUGGCGUAGGCAGGUCUCUGGGCUGACACUGACGCUCAUGCACGAAAGCGUGGGGAGCAAACAGG
rnacentral:rRNA from 1 species